GCCUUCCUCAACCUCGGCCCUCCUGCUGUUUUGAGACUAUAAUUCCCAUCAUCCCUGAUCACUGGUCCUGCUAGCUCAGGAUCGUGGGAGUUGGGAGGUCAAAAACAUCUGGAGGGCCAAGGUUGAGGAAGCC